ACGGGGGGGGCAAGCGUUGUUCGGAAUUACUGGGCGUAAAGGGCUCGUAGGCGGCCAACUAAGUCAGACGUGAAAUCCCUCGGCUCACCCGAGGACCGGCAUCGCAUACUGCUUGGCUUGAGUACGGGAGAGGAUGUGGGAAUUCCUGGUGUAGCGGUGAAAUGCGUAGAUAUCAGGAGGAACACCGGUGGCGAAGGCGCACAUCUGGCCCGAUACUGACGCUGAGGCGCGAAAGCUAGGGGAGCAAACGGGA
rnacentral:rRNA from 1 species